rnacentral:lncRNA from 1 species
CAUCAUUCCAAAGGACAUAUUUUACUAUUCUGAUAAGCCAUUGAUUGGUUAUAAUGGAUGAGAGGAAAGCUUGUAUAAACACAAAGCUAGAAGACACUAUUAAGAUGCUUCAAGGAGAAAUAAGCAAUUGUUUUCCACAGUUCCCUGAAAUAGCUUCCAAGAAAAGUUUAAGAAUUGUAAGUUUGGGUUACAAAUAAAUCAAGUCAUUGCAGUUAAAGUUUAUCAAGAAACUUGGUAUAAAACAGCAGGAAGAAGAAAGGAAGUAAACAAGAGGCAAGAUGGAUCAAAGGACAGCCUGGAAAAGAGACACAGGUUAGGUCUGCACUCAACAAACCAACAUCCAUCAUUUGCUCUUGUUAAUGUGGCAUAGGUUAUAAACAAUCCGUAGUUUCCAAUGUCGUUUGCGAUGAUGAAACUGGUUUGUAUGGGUCAUCAAAGCUGAAAAACAUAAAUAAUAAAGAAGAACAUUUCAGCUAUUUUAAAGCUACAGCUGUGGUAAUUAUCCUUAUUGUAACAUUUCAGAGUUCCUUAUUGAUGUCUUUUUUUUUUUUUCUAAAGGCAUCCACUAUUUGAGAAAGCCAGGUAAAAGAGAUCAUAUGCGAAAGACCCACAUUUGCCUUUUAGGAAGAAUUGGCAUAGGCCAAGAUCCAUCACAGUGCCUAGGAUUUCUGCAGGAAUGCUCUUCAAGUAACCCCAAGAAUAUUGCUGUAACUGCUACAAGACUUGGCAGGGGGGAUUGCCAAGUCAGGGCGUAUGGAGACCUAGAGCCUAGGUGGAUGCACAGGAGUGGAGGGGGAAAAAAAGCAGAAUGUUUAUCAUGCAGGAGGAAGCAUAAUAUAUAUGAUGAACAUGUUUGGAGUCUGUCACACUGAAAUUGAAAUCUUUACCACUGGUUAGCUUUCUACAUUCAGGUACAUCAUUAACUCUUUCAAGCCUCAAUUUCAUUUUAUUAAAAUGGCGAUAUUAAUUCAACCCUUGGGAGAUGGGGGGGAUGUGAGGAUUAAAUGGGAUAACAUUUGUAACGGAUUUGGCCUAAGGAAUGCUAGCUCUAUCCACAUGCCUCACUUUGAAGAUGUCAUUCCACUGAGAAGUAAGUUCUCAGUCCUGCUGCUACUCCUCUGAAUGCUUGGAGAGGUUUUUUUCUUCAUUUUUCAACAAUCUGUGUUUUUCUUUAUAUUCAAAGGAAAUGCUUGUAGCUGACUGCAUUAACUGAGUAUGUGGCUUGAAGUCUUUCAUCUGUUUGAAAAAAAUUCUGAGUCAUUAAAAAGAAAUGCUUCUAGCCCCUUCUCUUUCUCCUCUCUUCUAAAAUUCCAAUUAUAUUUAUGCUAGUCUUUAGCAUUGAUUCUAGUAUCAUUUAUGUACCUUUCUCUAUUUUCAGUUCUUAAUUCUUCAGCCUGACUAAACCUCUCUUUAGCUAUAUCUAAUUUGCUGAUAAAUUCCUAUAUUACAUUCUUUUUUCUCUAACAUUUUAUUACGAAACACUCAAACACACAAAAGAAUGGAAAGAAUUUUACAUAGAACACAUAUCCAUCAACUAUAUUCUAUAGUUUAUAGAAUUAAUAUUAAUUAAUAUUAUAUUAAUAUUAUUAUAUAUUAUUAAUAUUAUAUUCAUUAAUAUUAUAUUCGCAUUAUCACAUAUCUACCUACCCAAGCUCUGUAUCCAUUCAUCAACCCAUCUUAAUCUUUAAUGCAUUUCAAAUUAAAAUUCAGACAUCAAUAUACAUCCUUCUAAAUAUUUUAGCACACAUACCUUUAGCUGAGUUCAGCAUUUGUUUCCAGUGUGUAUAUUAUUUUGGAGGUGGAAUUUACACACAAUGAAACACAUGAAUUUUAAUAUUUUUUGCCAGAUUUUGAUAAAUGCAAAUGCUUGGG